GCCAGACACACGUACCAAGAUGGUCUCACUUGCUCCUCUGCUCUGCCUGGUGGUGCUCUGGGUCCAGGGUUCCUCCGGGCAGAUUGUGCUGACUCAGACCCCAGAGUCCCUGGCGGUCUCUCCAGGAGAUCAAGUGACCGUCAAGUGCAAAGCCAGCUCCAGCCUUACUUAUACCUUCUCUGAUAGCAACACCCCUAAAUAUUAUCAUCACUUAGCCUGGUACCAGCAGAAACCUGGGCAAGCUCCAAAGCUCCUCAUCUAUGGUGGUUCCACCCGGCAGUCAGGAGUCCCAGCCCGGUUCAGCGGCAGUGGCUCUGGCCCUGACUUCACUCUCAACAUACGUGGGGUAGCUGAAGAUGCUGGAGAUUAUUACUGUCACCAGUCCCGCAGCUCACCUCACACA